UGUCUCUGUGAGCCUUAAUAUUCUCACCUACAGCUGACUUGGAAAAACAUACAAUUCCAGGUUGAAUGAUUGUGGUAUUGGGGGUCACGCAUUGGCUGGGCACAUCAUAGGUGCGCGGGUAAGGAAUACCCUUCUCUCAUGCCUGACGUCACUUCCGCCUAAGGACUGGAAACACACUGGAAGGUUUUGACUGGAGUCCUGGCGGUGUUCCUCUUCCUGCUAUUCUUCCUCCUGCUCUGUCUCAUCCUCAUCCAACCGGCGUUGGUAUAAAAAGAAGGCUGAGGACGCGGCUGGAGCCGAGGGAAAUGGAAUCAGGACCCCACCUGAUGAGGACAUGCAAGGGAUCGUGUAUGCCCAGGUGAAACCCUCCAGGCUUCGGAUGGACACAACAUCCAAAGAGACCCAGGCUGUCAUCUACGCCCAGCUGAGCAGCCGGACACAGGAAGAGAACCACAGCUGAGACCAGCAGCCAGCCAUCCUGGGAAGAAGGCCCACACCCCACAUCCCACGAAUGAGAAUGAGGGAUUUUCUGAGAAGACAUUUGUUCUCAGUGGACUUGGUUUGACAGAUGGGAGCCAUCAUGACUCCCUCAGGUGUCAUCAGAAGCUUCUCAGAAUUGUGGGAAUGUGCUUCUUACCCUUUCAGAGGCAACAAAAGUCCUCAUGUCUUUUAAAUCAAGCCAAACCCUUCUCAAAAAAUGCCACACCAGCUCCAGUGGAGUCUGUGUAACAUGGCAGAAGUCAUGUUGUCAAGCCAGAGCUGUGUGUGUUCCUCGGAAAUUAGCCCCACGAGGUCCCUGGCUUCCUGCUUCUGCAAGCUGUUCGAGAGCAUUGGACAAAUUCUGUGGAUUUGGGUGCUGUGCCUUGUUUUUCUGUGCUUAGAGUUAAGUGGGAGGGAAAUGAGACAUGUGGAGAUGUAAUGAAUCAGGUACAACGGGAAGAGUUGUUUGUGAAAAAUCCAGACAUAGUGGAUGGUGAAAGAAUCAAAGUUCAACAACUGGUAGGGAAAGGACAGGACGGUGUGUCAGAAGUUAAGGAAGAUAGUGUGAGAAUUCUAACAACAAUAAUGUACAGUAGGAAGUGUUACUUACUCAGAGGAAGCAUUACUUACUCCAGUAAAUAGGGAAACUCCACAGAGGCUCAGGACAACAGCCCCUCCUAUGCCACAUACAGGAGUUCACACCGUGUUCCUAACUGGCCUGACUGGCAAUAUAAUAUUAAUGAAAUUUACAAGCUAGAGCAAAUUUUCUCAGACUGCAGCUUGGUAGAAUUCUUAGAGUGACCUCAAGUUUGUGAUGAUUCACCACUUUCUGGUUGACAACAAGGUUCCAAAAUACACUUCCUGCUCUGUCCUUUUUAGUUUCAAGUUACCAAGCAAACAUGUAACCACCCCCCCCCCAUAUGAUCAUCACCUGAUACAACCUGGCAUGAAGUCAAAAAGUAGUUCCUAAAUCAUGUGUCUAUAUCUGAGAUGUUUGCAGAAGAAAGAUUGCAGCAGCUUUUUGGUGUGUUGUGUCUGUCACUAAUUACUUACCUGAGUACUGAUACCCUGCUUCUCCCACAGGAGGAGACAGGACUGGGUCUCUCCUUGGAAAGAGAGCUUGUCUGUCUAAGCCUGGAAGAUUAGAGGGACAAUUAAAGAGGCCCUUUUGUCAUGGAAGGUCUCAGAGUAUAUUCAGGAAGUACAUCUUGCUGACACCUGACUACUUACAAGGAAGGCUACAGGGGAUUGACUGGCAUGACCUUGUUAGACACAGAAUGAGAUGGAAAGGGACAGCACCAACAUGCAUGGGCCUCCAGGAGUGUUGAUAGUUGAUGUGUGUGUAAAUCAUCUUCAUAUAUAAUGUGCAUAUUUUUAUAUUCCUCCUUUGAGGAAUGUCCUUCUUGUUAAUGUUAAUGACUCCAUGAUAAUCAAAGCUAGCAGGAGUACAGAGACAAGGGAUGGCUAAUUUCUCAGCAAUUGGUAAAGUCUGGGACCUUCUGGACAGCCUUUUAGACAAUGGGAAUUGCUUUAAAAAUAUGACUUGGAAAAUAGAAAAUUUCUCAACUAUGUGAAAAUAUCAGGGGGCAAUAUAAAUUGUAUAAGAGGUUUCAUUAAAGUAAAGUAAC